GAGUUUGAUCAUGGCUCAGAUUGAACGCUGGCGGCAGGCCUAACACAUGCAAGUCGAGCGGAUGACGGGAGCUUGCUCCUUGAUUCAGCGGCGGACGGGUGAGUAAUGCCUGGGAAUCUGCCUGGUAGUGGGGGACAACGUUUCGAAAGGAACGCUAAUACCGCAUACGUCCUACGGGAGAAAGCAGGGGACCUUCGGGCCUUGCGCUAUCAGAUGAGCCUAGGUCGGAUUAGCUAGUU
rnacentral:rRNA from 1 species